GGAUGAAUAUUUUUUUUCAUCCAGUUUGAUGGCCGUGAGAAUAAUCUAGCGAAGCACUAUUGUUUAUAACAACAUGAAAGGGCGAUUCGCUUAACGAAUGACGAGUGUCUUUCUAUAUGACAGGUUACGAGCUAAUCAAUCCUACGAUUUUAGCUAUAGACAGUAUUAAACGAAGCUUAAACAUUCUUUGCUAUUUAUGGGUUAGAUAAAGGCUUAGAUGUAUCCCAAAAUAUAUUUAGCUUUUACUAUAUUUGGUGUGUGCGUUGGAAUAUCAGCAUCUAUUGUGUUUGCAUUUUUUUUUCAAAAUUAUGGGACUUCUUUAUAUGCUUUAUAUUCAGCUUUUUAUGCACUUAUAUGCAUGGAUCUUAUAAUAAUUCAAGCAAAAAAAAAAGAGAUAACAUGGCAUAAUUUUAUAUUAUAUUCAAAAUAUUUAGGAAUUGUGGGAAUGUUUUUUGCUUUAAUCUCUGUAGUUAUCUUCAUUAUUUUUGGAAUUCAUUAUAAACAAACAAUUAUGUUUAUCAAAGGAGAAAAUUUUUUUUCCAUGGCAUUAUGGUCAGUGAUUAUAUUUAAAUGGGCAUAUCUGUGCAAUAAGUGGUCACAAAACUUGUUACAAACUAUUUAAAUAUGUUGAAUGUAUGUUAUUCAAAUCAAAUAAUAUUUUUGAAUAAAUGCAUAACCUUUUUGUAUUAUAUAUAAUUUGACUGAUUGAAAGUUAACCUUGUAUUAUUUAUUAACUUAAGAUAUCUUUUUAUUUAUGAUAUUCAAAUUAUAUUAGAUGUAUAUAAUAUCAAUUAUAUCGAGAAUGAAUGAUUGUUUAGUUUAAUAAA